rnacentral:lncRNA from 1 species
CUCUUGCUGGGCUUCCUCCAGAGAGGACAACUGUGCCAAAACUUCAUCACGACGAGACUUCGCUGUAGUUGCCCUCUCGUCAGCCCUCCUAAUGGCGUCUUGUGUCCAAGUUAGCUCGUCAUUAAGGUCCUUCAAGUGACCCUGAGCUGCGGCAAGCUGGCCCUAGACAUCACUUGUAGCUACAAGGUUUUCCUCGUGACGGGCCUCCUCAAUCUGGCGGUCCACCGUGCUCUGGAAUGACCAAUCACGAGCAUCGAUCUCCAUGAAGACACCCAUCAUCUGGCAAAGAGAAAAGGCAACAAAAUUAGAAAACAACGAGAAUAAGAACAACACAAAAAAGGGGGGUGUAACGACCCGGAAACCGGACCGCUACCGGCGCUAGGAUCCAUAUCGACUUAAGGUCGUCGGGACCCGUAGCAAGCCUACUAUGCAUCCUGUACAACUGGUAUAAUCCCAAACAUGAUCAAACAUAUACAUAAAACUUUAAACUUUUUCAUCUACCAAGCUUGACCUGCACAUGCACUAACUCUGUAACCAUAAAACUCCAUACUAGAGCCCUCAUCAAAUGCUCUAGAUGGGUCAUCAUUACAUAUCAAGCUUGGUUCUCAUCAUAUAACAUCAAUAAAACAUUACAUACAGAUCAUGUACAAAAGGGAUUAUCCAUACUCUAGGGCCAAGCACAAUACUAUAUCUCAAUAGACAUAACAUUACAUUACUUAUACAAUACAUGUCCGCUACUCACUAUUACAUACUCUUUACCCUUGCUGAUACCCUGUCUUCUCUCUGGCCCUGAAAACAUGGGGUUAGGGAGAGGGGUGAGCUAUUAGAGCCCAGUGAGUAGAAUAAUAAAAACAUUUAAAUAUCAUAUGCCAUUAUGAAAUGCGUCACAUCACAAGUAAAUCACAUCAAGGAUGGACUUGUCACCAAUAACCCUCUACAUAUCCAACCGUGACAGGGGCGUAGAAUGGGUCUCGACCUGGACUUUCUCUUAACAUAACAUAACAUAACCAAUCAUGCCAGGGGCGUAGAAUGGGCCUCGGCCUGGACUUACAUAUCAUACAUAUCAUAUCAUCUCAUGUCAUAUGGUAUCAUAUUGAGGGCUAGAGGAUCAUUCAAUAUCCAUCCACAUCAUCAUCAUCAAAUUAUACAAUGCAACAUAUUCGUAAAUUCUAAUGCAAACAACCUAUUAUAUACAUGGCAUUCAUGAUGCAUGGGUCAUGCUAAAAACCCUUUCAUUAAUUUAAAACAUAGUUUAGUUCUACUCACCUCUAGCAGACGCUGGACUAAUUCUGAACCAGCCAACUCUGUGGGCCUCCUCAGUUU